AUGAACGCUGGCGGCGUGCCUAAUACAUGCAAGUCGAGCGAACAGAUAAGGAGCUUGCUCCUUUGACGUUAGCGGCGGACGGGUGAGUAACACGUGGAUAACCUACCUAUAAGACUGGGAUAACUUCGGGAAACCGGAGCUAAUACCGGAUAACAUAUUGAACCGCAUGGUUCAAUAGUGAAAGGCGGCUUUGCUGUCACUUAUAGAUGGAUCCGCGCCGUAUUAGCUAGUUGGUAAGGUAACGGCUUACCAAGGCAACGAUACGUAGCCGACCUGAGAGGGUGAUCGGCCACACUGGAACUGAGACACGGUCAAGACUCCUACGGGAGGCAGCAGUAGGGAAUCUUCCGCAAUGGGCGAAAGCCUGACGGAGCAACGCCGCGUGAGUGAUGAAGGUCUUCGGAUCGUAAAACUCUGUUAUCAGGGAAGAACAAAUGUGUAAGUAACUGUGCACAUCUUGACGGUACCUGAUCAGAAAGCCACGGCUAACUACGUG
rnacentral:rRNA from 1 species